rnacentral:rRNA from 1 species
AGACACGGCCCAGACUCGUACGGGAGGCAGCAGUGGGGAAUAUUGGACAAUGGGCGCAAGUUUGAUCCAGCAAUACCUCGUGUGUGAAGAAGGCCUUAGGGUUGUAAAGCACUUUCAAUUGGGACGAAAAGUUUAAGUUUAAUAAACUUAUACCUUGACGGUACCUUUAGAAGAAGCACCGGCUAACUCCGUGCCAGCAGC